CAGUACCUGCGAUUCCAUUUAGGAAAGUGUGAUUUUCAAUGGACACAUCGUAUCUUCUCUAGAACCCUGGCUGGACACAUCCGCAGAACAGUCAUAUACUUUAGAAAGGUUCUUUUCUCCAUGGACACAUCCAUAGACUAAGCAGCUAAAUCUGCCUUGUGAAAAAUGUGAUUUUCAAUGGACACAUCCUAAGAAUAGAAGGAUUAUAUCUGCCUUACCGUGGAUGGAAGCAUCCUGAGAACAGUCUAAUUCCAUGUAAUUUACAGGCCGUAAAGGUGAUAGAUCAUUGGGAUUCUAUUGAUAGCUUCGAUGCCAUCUGUAGAUUGAUGUUCUCGAAUUAAGACAUUACGAAUUUCCCUUUCAGAUGCUACUGGGCAUGCACAAAUAUAUUUCGUACAAAUCAACAAAUGUUUCAUUUUUUUGGUCUCAAUCGAAACGCGGGCUGUAUUUUGGGUGCUGCCAACUCGCUACAACGAACAGCUGUUUGGCCAUUCCCAACAGGUUG